GUUUCAGUCCCUGAAAUCCACAGGACUGAGCCAAAAAUUCUGUCAUGAUUUCAAUAUCUGAAAGAUUAGAUCAUAAAUAUAGGCAUCUCCUGAUUUUUUUGCCACUGCAGUUCAAAGGGAUCAAGAACCUUUCCUGUGAAGUCGAUGGUUAGUUGAAAGCUGGAUUUGACUGAAUUCUCCCCCCUUAAGGUUGCAGUGCCAUAAAAAACUGUGGAGGAAGAACGAGACCAGAAGAAUUCACUUAAUGAAAAUAAUAAGAAAGUGAAAUAAAAUACAAGCAAAGCCACA
rnacentral:lncRNA from 1 species